rnacentral:rRNA from 1 species
UACGGAGGAUGCGAGCGUUAUCCGGAUUUAUUGGGUUUAAAGGGUGCGUAGGCGGCUUUUUAAGUCAGCGGUGAAAUUUUGCAGCUUAACUGUAACAGUGCCGUUGAUACUGGGGAGCUAGGAUUUGGUUGCUGUGGGUGGAAUGUGUGGUGUAGCGGUGAAAUGCUUAGAUAUUACACAGAACACCGAUUGCGAAGGCAGCUUGCUGGGUCAUUACUGACGCUAAUGCACGAAAGCGUGGGGAUCAAACAGGAUUAGAUACCCCGGUA